rnacentral:rRNA from 1 species
CCUAGGGUGGCUGCAGUGGGGAAUAUUGGACAAUGGGGGCAACCCUGAUCCAGCCAUGCCGCGUGUGUGAAGAAGGCCCUCGGGUUGUAAAGCACUUUCAGUGAGGAAGAACGCCUGGUGGUUAAUACCCAUCAGGAAAGACAUCACUCACAGAAGAAGCACCGGCUAACUCCGUGCCAGCAGCCGCGGUAAUACGGAGGGUGCGAGCGUUAAUCGGAAUUACUGGGCGUAAAGCGCGCGUAGGUGGCUUGAUAAGCCGGUUGUGAAAGCCCCGGGCUCAACCUGGGAACGGCAUCCGGAACUGUCAAGCUAGAGUGCAGGAGAGGAAGGUAGAAUUCCCGGUGUAGCGGUGAAAUGCGUAGAGAUCGGGAGGAAUACCAGUGGCGAAGGCGGCCUUCUGGACUGACACUGACACUGAGGUGCGAAAGCGUGGGUAGCAAACAGGAUUAGAUACCCCGGUAGUC